rnacentral:rRNA from 1 species
UGCAGUCGAACGGUGAAGGAGGAGCUUGCUCCUUUGGAUCAGUGGCGAACGGGUGAGUAACACGUGAGUAACCUGCCCCAGACUCUGGGAUAAGCACUGGAAACGGUGUCUAAUACCGGAUACGAGCUUCAGCCGCAUGGCUAGGAGCUGGAAAGAAUUUCGGUCUGGGAUGGACUCGCGGCCUAUCAGCUAGUUGGUGAGGUAAUGGCUCACCAAGGCGACGACGGGUAGCCGGCCUGAGAGGGUGACCGGCCACACUGGGACUGAGACACGGCCCAGACUCCUACGGGAGGCAGCAGUGGGGAAUAUUGCACAAUGGGCGCAAGCCUGAUGCAGCAACGCCGCGUGAGGGACGACGGCCUUCGGGUUGUAAACCUCUUUUAGUAGGGAAGAAGCGAAAGUGACGGUACCUGCAGAAAAAGCACCGGCUAACUACGUGCCAGCAGCCGCGGUAAUACGUAGGGUGCAAGCGUUAUCCGGAAUUAUUGGGCGUAAAGAGCUCGUAGGCGGUUUGUCGCGUCUGCUGUGAAAACUGGAGGCUCAACCUCCAGCCUGCAGUGGGUACGGGCAGACUAGAGUGCGGUAGGGGAGAUUGGAAUUCCUGGUGUAGCGGUGGAAUGCGCAGAUAUCAGGAGGAACACCGAUGGCGAAGGCAGAUCUCUGGGCCGUAACUGACGCUGAGGAGCGAAAGCAUGGGGAGCGAACAGGAUUAGAUACCCUGGUAGUCCAUGCCGUAAACGUUGGGAACUAGAUGUAGGGACCAUUCCACGGUUUCUGUGUCGCAGCUAACGCAUUAAGUUCCCCGCCUGGGGAGUACGGCCGCAAGGCUAAAACUCAAAGGAAUUGACGGGGGCCCGCACAAGCGGCGGAGCAUGCGGAUUAAUUCGAUGCAACGCGAAGAACCUUACCAAGGCUUGACAUAUACCCGGAAAAGUUCAGAAAUGUUCUCCCCGCAAGGCCGGUAUACAGGUGGUGCAUGGUUGUCGUCAGCUCGUGUCGUGAGAUGUUGGGGUUAAGUCCCGCAACGAGCGCAACCCUCGUUCUAUGUUGCCAGCACGUAAUGGUGGGAACUCAUAGGA